AUUGAACGCUGGCGGCAGGCCUAACACAUGCAAGUCGAGCGGAUGAAGGGAGCUUGCUCCUGGAUUCAGCGGCGGACGGGUGAGUAAUGCCUAGGAAUCUGCCUGGUAGUGGGGGUAACGUCCGGAAACGGGCGCUAAUACCGCAUACGUCCUGAGGGAGAAAGUGGGGGAUCUUCGGACCCCACGCUAUCAGAUGAGCCUAGGUCGGAUUAGCUAGUUGGUGGGGUAAAGGCCUACCAAGGCGACGAUCCGUAACUGGUCUGAGAGGAUGAUCAGUCACACUGGAACUGAGACACGGUCCAGACUCCUACGGGAGGCAGCAGUGGGGAAUAUUGGACAAUGGGCGAAAGCCUGAUCCAGCCAUGCCGCGUGUGUGAAGAAGGUCUUCGGAUUGUAAAGCACUUUAAGUUGGGAGGAAGGGCAGUAAGUUAAUACCUUGCUGUUUUGACGUUACCAACAGAAUAAGCACCGGCUAACUUCGUG
rnacentral:rRNA from 1 species